AAGUCGUAACAAGGUAACCGUAGGUGAACCUGCGGUUGGAUCAUUAAAAAUCUAAUUUUUUCGGUGAGGGAGCGUUAAGGUAUUAGUAAAUGGUUAAACAUUUACUGAUACCUUAUGUUAAGUGGUAAUAUGACGUUUGUCUGUUGGCAGAUGGAAUAUUGCCAUGAUCCUUCAUUGAUCAACCCAUUGUGAAACAUAUCGUACCCUCCAGUUAAAGGACUGUAAAGUCUUUUUACUGGGCAUUUCUAACCAACCCUUUAAACUUGACUGAAAUUUUUAUGAAAAUAAAAAUAAACAACUUUUGACAACGGAUCUCUUGGCUCUC
rnacentral:misc_RNA from 1 species